AAAGGAUUCGGUUCACUUAAAAGAGCCAGUGCUUUCCGUCACUGAAGGAAGUGAAGUGCGCGGUGAAAAAGCAUCAUAAUGGACGCUACAGUGGCAUGUAAUAAUUGUGGCUUACCGUACACGUUGUCUGAGGGUGAGGUUGUGGGGAGGCUGCCCCAUGUGCUCGUCUGUGUGGAGUGUCUCUGCUCUCUGGAGUGUCCUCAGGACUCCAACUCUGUCCCCUCAGUCAGCUGUCCCGAGUGUAGGACAGCGAUAAAGAGGGCAGGACCUGGUCAGACCUCCAGUCAGACGUGGAAGUGUCUGGGUAAAGACCACCAAGGUGUAAAACAUGCAGAUAUUUGUUCAGCACAUCGCUAUUGCUAUUCCUUGAUGCUUUGAGAGCAUAUUCAAAGUUGUAUUUUUCAUGAAACAUUGUAGAAUUUGGCAAUAUAGUCAAUAUUUUACACUCUUACACAGAGUCUGCAGAACUGGCAGCCGAUGGACGAUAUGCCGUGUGAGCGUAUUCUUCUGCUUUCUGAUUAACUUUCUUUGCCAUGCUGAGGGAGGUGUUGACUAAAUUAGAGAUGGUGCUGGACCAACAAACCACUGAGAUUGCUUCAACUACAGGAGGUCCAGCUGCAGCCUUUGGAUGUUGAUGAAGAUUUACUGCCCUGCAAGACCUUCCUCAACUGCGUAGUCUGGAGCGAAGGAUGCAACAGAGCCCAGAUUACAAGCAAGAUCUGUUCAUAGAAACCUCUUUACGCCUAAAGCUGCAGCGAUGGAGGUCGAGGGGACCAUGAAGAGGUGGCUCCAGCUGGCAUCAGAUCAAGAGUGUGGGUGCAAGAGAAGUCUUUUGCAAAAAGAAGCUACCAGGAAUCCUGAAGAAGGACUAGCGCAUUGGAGCGGUCGUGCUGCACGUGGGGGCAAACAUCAGGCUGUGGCAGGCGGAGGUUCUGAAGAGGGACUUCUCCAGCCUGAUCGAGACGGUACGAGGCAGAUCACCCACCGCGAAGAUCAUCGUCUCUGGACCUCUUCCCUCAUACAGAGGUGGAGCAGAAAGGCUCAGUAGACUUCUUGCUUUGAAUGACUGGUUAGUUUCUUGGUGUAAUGAACAGAAUCUGCUGUUUGUUAAUAACUGGAAUCUGUUCUGGGAUCGGAACUGCUGUCAGACAACAUUUCCAAGACGCUACAGACCAAGUGACUGUCUACCCGUGCUUACUUGAAGACGAUGAGGCAGAGCAGCAUCGGAGAGACAGUUCGCUCCAUUCUCCAAAGAAUCGGGGAGAACAGUCUGUAAUGUAUGUUUUUGUUGAAAGUGUCAAAAGGUGGGAAGCUGGCUUUGACUUAUCAGGAUGAAGUGUAUCGCCUUGUACACUAUAUUGCCGAACAAGCACAUGGACGUGAAUAUACUGUUGCCGGUUGCAGAGAGGCCAUCGGCAGCUACCUAAAAAAUGCCCCAGGCAGGAAAAGUGGCAAGAAACAUAUUAUGAGUGUUUAUGAUGAAGCAGAGCUACGUGGGAUCUCCAGUGCGUCCUGCAAGAAUUGGGCCUGAGUCCAGUUCAGAUUCAAUUUUGUAAUCUCAUUCCUCUCCCUUGCGUGACAGCCUCCAAACAGUACAAUUCUAAUGAGCUUGAAUAUACGGGGAAUUCCAUUGGGUUUGAUGUCUGACUAAUUAAAGACCCACCUCUUCUAUGAACACCUAACCAACUCAUAAUAAAAAAAAAAUAUUUAAAAAAAAAAAUGCACUUACACCUCUAGUCUGCACUUUGCUUCUUCUAGAAUUCAAUGAAUAGAUCUUGUAUGGUAGCUGCUCUUGUAUUGUUCUCUGCUUGAUAUAUCGCUUUGCUUGUAUCUUUCUUAUUUGUAAGUCGCUUUGGAUAAAAGCGUCUGCUAAGUGAAUGUAAUGUAAAUGUAAUAAAUUGUUUUCUUUGAUUAGCAAUACAUAGGUACUAUAUCUGGCUGUUUUGUGUGUUACAAUAUUGAAUGUCAUUUUUCAGCUAUUCACUUUGUCUGCAUUUACUAAAAUUCAUGCAUGUUUAUUAAAAAUAUUCACGGAGUUUGUUAAACUAUAUAAUUGUUGUCUAUCAUUCAUAAGAUUCGUCAUGGGAAUUCCAUAGACCAGAAUCUAACAUCCACAUUAUUGAAGCAUUGUUUAAUUACGGAUUUUUUUAAGCAUGCGGUAUGUUAUAUGCUUUAAUUGUAU